AGUGAACGCUGGCGGUAGGCCUAACACAUGCAAGUCGAACGGCAGCACAGUAAGAGCUUGCUCUUACGGGUGGCGAGUGGCGGACGGGUGAGGAAUACAUCGGAAUCUACUUUUUCGUGGGGGAUAACGUAGGGAAACUUACGCUAAUACCGCAUAUGACCUACGGGUGAAAGCAGUGGAUCUUCGGACCUUGCGCGAUUGAAUGAGCCGAUGUCGGAUUAGCUAGUUGGCGGGGUAAAGGCCCACCAAGGCGACGAUCCGUAGCUGGUCUGAGAGGAUGAUCAGCCACACUGGAACUGAGACACGGUCCAGACUCCUACGGGAGGCAGCAGUGGGGAAUAUUGGACAAUGGGCGCAAGCCUGAUCCAGCCAUACCGCGUGGGUGAAGAAGGCCUUCGGGUUGUAAAGCCCUUUUGUUGGGAAAGAAAAGCAGCAGGUUAAUACCCCGCUGUUCUGACGGUACCCAAAGAAUAAGCACCGGCUAACUUCGUG
rnacentral:rRNA from 1 species